CUACGGAUCAGUCCGUAAAUAAGCAAUUGAAGGACCUGAUCCUUAGAACACGUGGCGUUAGGAGAUUGGAUUUCGUUUUGUAAAAAGAAAAUUUAUUCUCUCUCCUCCGGGAGCUUGAGUCUGCAAGAAAAAAAAAUCAUUCUCUUUCCAGGCUGAUUGAUUUCGUCAUCGUUUAUUAAUUUUAUUUGUGUUUGAUUUGUAUUUCGUUAUCUGUUCUCGAUGUUGAUUUACAGAUGUCUUUAGCGACGGAACAAGACACAGGGAUGUUAAAGGUCCAGCAAACCAUCGGAAGCAUCCUGUGCUGCAAGUGCGGCGUCCCCAUUGAAAAGUUUGCUGCUAAAUCAGAUUCAGUCGCAGCUCCUGUUACCAUUGAAGAGCCUGCAAGUGAAGAGAUUGCUUAACUUGAAUCUGAAAACGUCUGCAAACACUCCCUUGAAGUCUCGCAUUGUUGAUGAGAUUAGAGAGGUCUGUCUGUCUGAUUAGAGAGGUCUGUCUGUCUAUUUCCACUAAUCUUUUUCGUUUUAGCUCUGGUCCGGAAGUUUAUAGGAAAGGAAACGUUUCUUACUCUGUUUUCACCUAAAGUCGGUAACUUUUAUCAACCGUUUCAUUCAUCUUUGAGAUUCUGUUGGUUUCAGUUAGCUCAAGGAGUUCUGGUUCCGUUUACAUAUCUCAACUUUCGGGUUUAAUCUUGGUCUCUUAGUCUGUGAUGAACUGUGUUUGUAGCUAAAGUUUCUUUUUUUUAAACCUGUUGUUAUAUUCUCUGAUUGUUGGAAGGGAUCAUGCUGGUGGCAACGAGAAGAUGAAGCAGUUGGUGCCUGGAAUCUUUUUAUUCACUUGUUCCUUCCCUAACAGGAGCCUACGUAGAUCAUCCUUCACGUCACUCACCCUAAGCUGCUUCUUUAUCGGUUCACUGAAUCGCUCCACCAAGUCAGCCACAUUGCUAGAUAAUGGAUGCAAAAGGAGAGAACUCAUUAGCAUUGUUUCCAGCCAAGUUUCGUGAGAGCAUGUGGAUCAGACGAGGUAACCUUUACUUGUUGUUGUCAAACAAAGUUACUUGGGACUUCUCUCAGACUUGUUUAAACAUAAGAAAUGAAUAUUAAAUCAUUGCUUAGUGUUGUAUCU